rnacentral:rRNA from 1 species
UACGUAGGGGGCAAGCGUUGUCCGGAUUUACUGGGCGUAAAGCGUGCGUAGACGGUUAUGUAAGUCGGGUGUGAAAGCCCCGGGCUCAACCUGGGAAUGCCAUUCGAGACUGCAUAGCUAGGGUGCGGAAGAGGGAAGCGGAAUUUCCGGUGUAGCGGUGAAAUGCGUAGAUAUCGGAAGGAACACCAGUGGCGAAAGCGGCUUCCUGGUCCAGCACCGACGUUCAGGCACGAAAGCGUGGGGAGCAAACAGG